UGGAUAGUUAUUUACUGCAAUUGAUGAUCGUGGAUAUCUCUUCGGUUCCUUUUGAGCCGCACAAGUAUCUGACCUCUACAGGUAUUCAUGGGAUAAAUCUAAGAAAGCUCAUCUUUUAUUUCUUCACUAAGAAACUAGCAAGUAAUUUUUAAAGGAGGAAGAAGAAAAUGAGAGAACUCCUCUCAAAUUAGCAGUCUGAACUUGCAUGUAGAAGGAAGAAGGCAUCCAACCCUUGGGUGUGGAAACCAAGGACGCCCAACUCUUGGGUAUGAGGAAG
rnacentral:lncRNA from 1 species